rnacentral:rRNA from 1 species
UACGUAGGGUGCGAGCGUUAAUCGGAAUUACUGGGCGUAAAGCGUGCGUAGGCGGCUUUGCAAGUCAGAUGUGAAAUCCCCGGGCUUAACCUGGGAACUGCAUUUGUGACUGCAUGGCUGGAGUGCGGCAGAGGGGGAUGGAAUUCCGCGUGUAGCAGUGAAAUGCGUAGAUAUGCGGAGGAACACCGAUGGCGAAGGCAAUCCCCUGGGCCUGCACUGACGCUCAUGCACGAAAGCGUGGGGAGCAAACAGG